UCUAAUCUCACUCUCAUCUCUCGUUCCGAAAUUAAAAAGAAUUUCGAUCUCUCCAAACCUCUGAUCUCGAAUCCCUUCUUCGUGGAAGAUUCGCUGAUCCCGAUUCCUUCUAUUUAGCCUGGAAUUUUACUUGACACUGUGCUGUUUUGGCUGCAGUUUUGGGCUUUGACUCUUCGAGUUCUGAUGCGAGAAGAGCUAGGGUCUUGAGAUCGAGUCGUGGUUGUGGGAUUAGUUGUUGGGUGAGACGAUGGCGGAUGCUCGGCGGUAUGGAUUGACCCCUCAGUUAGAUAUUGAGCAGAUACUUUUGGAAGCACAACAUCGAUGGUUACGCCCUGCGGAAAUCUGUGAAAUUCUUCGAAACUAUAGGAAAUUUCACAUAGCCCCAGAAUCACCAAAUAAACCUCCCAGUGGUUCACUUUUUCUUUUUGAUCGGAAAGUAUUGAGAUACUUCCGGAAGGAUGGCCAUAACUGGAGAAAGAAAAAAGAUGGAAAGACCGUGAAAGAAGCUCAUGAGAGACUAAAGGCUGGAAGUGUUGAUGUUCUACAUUGCUACUAUGCUCAUGGGGAGGAAAAUGAAAAUUUUCAAAGACGGAGUUAUUGGAUGUUGGAAGAGGACUACAUGCAUAUUGUUCUUGUACACUAUCUUGAAGUCAAGGGUAACAAACCAAGUUUCAGUCGUACUAGAGAUGUCGACGAAAUUGCUCAAGUUGCCAAUAUGGAAAGUCCUGUAUGUUCUAAUUCAUUCACAAAUCAUAGCCAGCUGCCUUCACAAACUACAAGCGCUGAAAGCCCAAAUAGUCCACACACUUCAGAAUAUGAAGAUGCUGAAUCUGCAGAUAAUUAUCAAGCAAGUUCCAGAUACAACUCUUUCCUUGAGAUGCAGCAGUAUGGGGAUGGACCUGUGAUGGAUGCUCAUCUGUUGAACCCUCAUGUUCCAGUUGAUUCCAUAAACAACCAAUGUGAUAUUCAGGGAGCAAAGGCUACAGAACCUAAAUCAGACUUUUAUUCGGUUGUUCAAGAGAAUAUAACUAGAGUUUUUGAUGAAACAGGCCUUGGAUUCACAUUUAGUGGGUCCAGAACACAGUUUGACCUGACAUCAUGGGAUGAAGUCCUGGAACAUUACACAACAGGGUUCCAAACACCAUCUUUCUACCCAGCAGUUGCUUCUACACCAUCAUCCACAGUGGAGGACAAUCUUAGACUCGAGACUUCAACACUUGGGGAACUACACACGGAUGACCUUGGGUUCAAGCAAGUGGAUGUUGCCAGUGCUCAAGACAAAUCAUUGUGGCAGCUUUCUAGUGCUGACAUUGAUCCACUUGUUUCAUCAAAUGUUGGUCUGCAAAAUGGUGCAUCUAUAGAGGAAAAUGUCAAUGCCCCUUCCCUUAUAACACAGGCAUCAUUAGAUUUCUCUAAUAUAGAAGGAGAAGGCCUAAAGAAAUAUGACAGUUUCUCGAGAUGGAUGAACAAUGAGCUUGGAGAAGUAGAUGACUCACAUAUGAAAUCCAGUUCUGGGGUUUACUGGAACACUGUUGAAAGUGAAAGUGUUGUUGAAGAUUCUAGCAUGUCUAAUCGUGAGCACUUAGAUGCAUAUAUAGUGAGCCCCUCACUUUCCCAAGACCAGCUUUUCAGUAUAAUUGAUUUCACUCCUAAUUGGGCAUAUAGUGGCAUGGAGACUAAGGUUUUAAUCACUGGAACAUUCUUGAAGAAUAAAGCAGAUGUAGAAAAAUGUCAAUGGUCAUGCAUGUUUGGGGAAAUUGAAGUUCCAGCUGAGAUUUUAAGAGAUGGAACUCUUCGUUGCCAUGCUCCAUCGCACAAAUCUGGAAGGGUUCAUUUUUAUGUCACCUGCUCCAACAGAUUGGCUUGUAGUGAAGUGCGGGAAUUUGAAUUCCGGGAAAAUGAUGUUCAAUAUAUGGAAGCUUCAGAUUCUUAUGGUUCCAAUACAAAUGAAAUGCGUCUUCACAUACGUUUGGAAAAGCUACUUACUUUGGGACCAGUUGACCACCUAAAAGCUGUACCUGAUAGUACCAAAGAGAAUCUUCAUUUAAGAAAUAAAAUUAGUUCACUGAUGAUGGAAGCUGAUGAUGAAUGGUCCAAUCUGCUCAAGCUAACUCAUGAGGGGUUCUCUCCUGACAGUGCAAGGGACCGGUUGCUUGAAAAAUUAAUGAAAGAGAAACUGCAUUCCUGGCUUCUUCACAAAGUAGCUGAAGAUGGUAAAGGCCCCAAUGUCUUGGAUAAGGAGGGGCAGGGUGUGCUUCAUUUGGCAGCUGCCCUUGGUUAUGAUUGGGCUAUAAAACCAACAAUAACUGCAGGUGUAAGUAUAAACUUCAGAGAUGUGCGUGGAUGGACUGCCCUUCACUGGGCAGCAAACUGUGGCAGGGAGCGGACAGUUGUUGCCCUUAUUGCCUCGGGUGCAGCUCCUGGAGCUUUAACAGAUCCUACUCCUGAGUUCCCAACUGGAAGAACACCCGCAGAUCUAGCAUCUACAAAUGGGCACAAGGGGAUUGCUGGCUUUUUGGCAGAGUCUUCUCUGACUAACCAUCUUUCAGCCCUCACUUUGAAGGAGUCAAAAGGCAUUGAUGUCACAGAAAUUUCUGGUAUUACAGAUGUUGAAGAUGUUGCAGAAAAGAGUGCCAUUCAAGUUGCUGAGGGAGAUGUGCAGGCUGGACUUUCACUGAAGGAUUCAUUGAGUGCUGUUCGCAAUGCUUCUCUAGCUGCAGCUCGAAUCUAUCAAGUUUUCAGAGUUCAUUCAUUCCACCGAAAGAAGGUCACUGAGUAUGGAAAUGACAAAUGUGGAAUAUCAGAUGAGCGUGCUCUUUCUCUCAUCUCUCUCAAAACAGCCAAGCCAGGACAACAUGAUAUGCCUCCGCAUGCAGCUGCAAUUCGUAUACAAAACAAGUUUAGAGGGUGGAAAGGAAGAAAGGAGUUUUUGAUUAUUCGGCAGCGUAUUGUUAAGAUCCAGGCCCAUGUACGAGGAUACCAAGUGAGGAAACAUUACAAAAAGAUCAUCUGGUCAGUUUUGAUUGUGGAGAAAGCUAUAUUGCGGUGGAGGCGGAAAGGAAGCGGAUUACGUGGUUUCCGGUCUGAAGGACUAUUGGAGGGUCCUGCCAUGCAAAACCAAGGAACUAAAGAGGAUGAUUAUGACUUCUUGCAAGAAGGCAGAAAACAGACCGAGGCCAGGCUACAGAAAGCACUUGCAAGAGUUAGAUCCAUGGUUCAAUAUCCAGAAGCAAGAGAUCAGUACCGAAGGCUUCUAAAUGUUGUCACUGAGCUCCAGGAGUCCAAGAAUGUCUGGUAGCUGUCUGGUCACAAUAUAUGCUGCACCUUUAUUCUUCUUCUUCUUCUUUUUUGUGGAGAACUAUGAUGAGACUAGUACCCAGCAUCUGCAUUUGCCAACCAGUGGACCAGCCUUGUUGGCUUAGUGGCCAUGCAAGAUAGAAUUACGAAUGAGUCAGAGGAGGCUGCUGACGGCGAGUUCAUGAUUGAACUGGAAGAGCUAUGGCAGGAUGACACCCCCAUGCCCACAGCUUAAUAUGGUUUCAUAUGAUGAAGAUUUGCAUCUGUAUACCUCCCAACUACUGCUGUAAAUUAUCUGCUUCGUGGGUUGUGCAAUGGACGAUCGACAUAUAUGCUGUAUAUACAUGUACUGGUCGUAUGCAACUUAGGGAUGAAGUUAUAGAUAUGGAUGCUUUGGAUUAAUUUCUCUC